UCAAGCUGAAAAGAGCGCAAGGGGAAUGCCUUGGCAUCAGGAGCCGACGAAGGACGUGACAAGCUGCGAUAAGCUACGGUGAGGAGCAAAUAUCCUGUGACCCGUAGAUUUCCGAAUGGGGCAACCCGGCUGGACAAUAUCCAGUCAUCCUGCAUUGAAUAAAAUAGGUGUAGGAAGGGAACCGCCUGAACUGAAACAUCUAAGUAGGGCGAGGAAAAGACAUCAACCGAGAUUCCGCAAGUAGUGGCGAGCGAACGCGGAAGAGGCCAAACCGGAGGAUUUAUUCUCCGGGGUUGCGGACAGCUAUACGGAACAAUAGUUUAGCCGAACGGUCUGGGAAGGCCGGUCACAGAGGGUGAGAACCCCGUAGGCGAAAGACGAAUUGUUUCAGGCUGGAUCCAGAGUACCGCAGGACACGUGAAACCCUGUGGGAAACAGGGGGGACCACCCUCCAAGCCUAAAUACUACCUGAUGACCGAUAGAGGAGCAGUACCGUGAGGGAAAGGUGAAAAGGACCCCGGGAGGGGAGUGAAAGAGAACCUGAAACCUUGUGCUUACAAGCAGUCAAAGCACGUUAAAGUGUGAUGACGUACUUUUUGUAGAACGGUCCGGCGAGUUAUAGUAACGAGCAAGCUUAAGGUAUUCAGUACCGGAGGCGAAGCGAAAGCGAGUCUGAAUAGGGCGCAUGAAGUUCGUUGCCAUAGACCCGAAACCGGGUGACCUACGCAUGAGCAGGUUGAAGUGGGGGUGAAACCCCAUGGAGGACCGAACCAACCCCCGUUGCAAUGGUGGUGGAUGACUUGUGCGUAGCGGUGAAAUUCCAAUCGAACUCGGAGAUAGCUGGUUCUCCCCGAAAUAGCUUUAGGGCUAGCGUUAUUUUAGAUUACCGGAGGUAAAGCACUGAAUGGUCUAGGGGCCGCGAGGUUACCAAAGCCUAUCAAACUCUGAAUGCCGGAUAAUUGAUGAAUAGCAGUCAGACUGUGUGAGAUAAGUCUCAUAGUCAAAAGGGAAACAGCCCAGAUCUACAGCUAAGGUCCCAAAUGAACACUAAGUGGAAAAUGAUGUGAAACUGCGAAGACAACCAGGAUGUUGGCUUAGAAGCAGCCACUCAUUCAAAGAGUGCGUAAUAGCUCACUGGUCGAGUGGUUUUGCGCAGAAAAUGUAACGGGGCUAAGUGUUCAACCGAAGCUUAGGCAUUGUACUUUGUACAUUGGGUAGGGGAGCGUCGUAUGCGGGGCGAAGUCAGAGCGGAAGCACUGGUGGACUGCAUACGAGUGAGAAUGCCGGAAUAAGUAGCGAGAAUUAUGUGAGAAUCAUAAUGGCCGAAAAUCUAAGGUUUCUUGGGGAAGGUUCGUCCGCCCAAGGUUAGUCGGGAGCUAAGCUCAGGCCGAAAGGCGUAGGCGAUGCACAUACGGUAGAAAUUCCGUAACCACCGAACAUUUAAGCUAGAGGGACGCUUUCUUUAAGGUUAUCCCGGGCGAUGGUUGCCCCGGGCGUAAGGGACCGAAAUAUAGUAGGGAAGUAACUGGCGAGAGAGACGAGAAAAGCUCUAGUGUAUACUAAGGUGCCCGUACCGCAAACCGACACAGGUAGAUGGGAUGAGUAUUCUAAGGCCAACGGGAGAAGGGUUGUUAAGGAACUCGGCAAAUUGGCCCCGUAACUUCGGGAUAAGGGGCGCCUGCGAGAGCAGGCCGCAGUGAAAAGGCCCAAGCGACUGUUUAGCAAAAACACAGCUCUCUGCUAAAUCGAAAGAUGACGUAUAGGGGGUGACGCCUGCCCGGUGCUGGAAGGUUAAGGGGAGUGCUUAGCGCAAGCGAAGGUGCGAACUUAAGCCCCAGUAAACGGCGGCCGUAACUAUAACGGUCCUAAGGUAGCGAAAUUCCUUGUCAGGUAAGUUCUG
rnacentral:rRNA from 1 species